UGAUAACAGUUAAUUCAGGCUCCAAACAGGAGACAGCUGCUUAAGUGUUCCCUGACUGGUGUUGCUGAGCACGAAGCACCGAAUAUCAGGCUGCCCGGUGGCCCCUCCAGGACUCCACAUUCC
rnacentral:lncRNA from 1 species